CAGAGGAGGAGAAAACUGAAGAAGAAAACCCGGAAAAAACAGGCAGUGAAGUUCAGAAAGAUCAGGAAACACCUCAGGAUAAAAUUCAGUACACGCAACCAGGAAUGAAGGAGGAGGAAAGCAGCCAUUUCUUUGCCUACUUUGUCACUGGAGCUGUACUGGUGGCAAUGCUUUACAUCGCUAUCCACAACAAGCGCAAGAUUAUUGCCUUUCUUUUGGAAGGAAAAAGAUCCGGAUCCACUCGACGACCUAAAUCCGCACACUACCAGAAGCUGGAGCAAAAUAUGUGAUCCAAAGCUUCCUGGAAAAACUGUGGUGGAUCUGCACUAAAGAAAAGGACCUUUCUCUAUAUGGACACUUCCGAUUUUGACUUUUAACUGUUUGUUGCAUGACUAAGCAUACGACAGAUUGCCUUAUCCGGAGGGUAUGUUAAGUAGGCUUGCAGUAUUUUGCACUUGUGUAAAUGUUUUGAUUUUUGGGCCUUCUGGUUUGAGGGAGGUGGUGGAUCAGGAUGCUUGGUAGCAAAUCAGUUGUCUUAAAUCUGUCUUGUUUUUAUGUCACAGUAUAGAUGUCAACAUGUACCUGAAUAAGCCAUCACAGAGUGUUUUGUUGCUUUGGAAAUGCCUUUAAUAUAUGCUGUUUCCUUGAAAACAAUCUAUUUUAUAAUUACAGGUAUAAUCAGGUUAAUGUCGCCUGGCUAAUCUGUGGUCCGCUUCCUCUGUUUGAGCUGAGGAGGCUUCAACUUGUGCCACUUGAUGGGUUGGACUCAUCCAUUAAGUUUACCUAUAAAUGUAUUUGUAGGAUAGGAUUUCAGUGCAGCCUCUUUGUUUUUUUGCUGUCAGGAAAAAGAGUGCUUUGCUGAAACUACCACUAAAAUAUGAAGUUGGGUCAGCCAUCAAACAUUUGUUUUGUUAUUUAGAAAUGAAAAACCAAAUCUUUUCCAAAUGGUUUGAGAUAAUCCUGUGGUUUAUCUUGUCUUUUUUUUUUUUUUGCCUCAUACUUUGAGGUAAACCAUUUUUUUUCUUCUAGGAAGUGUGUAUGAACCAACUUGCAGCUUUCUAGAAACAGUUGUUUGUAAUAUCUGAAAUUGUUUUAAAAUUUGACCUGUGGUUUUCUGUGAAGAUGGGUAUCGGGAAGGAUUAAAUGAUGAGGUAUUUCAGAAAGAAUUGUAUAAAGAUAACGUUUUUUUAAAAAUAUACCAGAUCUAAGCAGUUUAGUGCUUCUACUGAAAUAAAUGAUA